ensembl:lncRNA
AUCUACAUGGGUAUGAGUAAGGAGCUGAGUGAGACCUUACAGGUCUGGAUUAAAAGGAGUAUAGGGAAAGAUGGUAAAAUAUAGGGGGACAAUCACUUUCCUGCUCAUUCUGAGUAUGCUGUUUCUAAUACAAGCCAGGAUGCCAUUGGCUUUCUUGGCUGUCUGGGAACACUGCUAGCUCUUGUUCAGCCAGCUAUCAACUAACCUCCCAAGAUUCUUUUCCUCCAUACAGCUUUUCAGCCAUUCUGCUCCAAGCCUUUAGUGAUGCAUGGGAUUUUUGUAGCCAAAAUGCAGGACCUGGCACUUGAUCCUGUUGAAGCUCAUACAGUUAGCCUCAGCCGAGCCAGCCAGCCUAUCCAGAUCCCUCUGAAGGGCCUUCCUACUCCCAGGCAGAUCAACAUUUCCUCCCAACUUGGCAUUAUUGCAAACACUAAAGGUUGCUAAGUGGAUGAUUUUACAGUGAACCUCUUGCUGCUGUUGGAACUGCUGCACAGGAACAGGGACAAUGUGUAACAAAUGAAGCAUUAACAGGACAACUCCUUCUGCCUUAUGUGCUAAGUCUGCUGAGCAUGCACAGAGAACCUGCGGCUUUGUAGAAACAACUGUGUUAACAGCAUAUGUGUGAAACACUUUCCUUGCACAUGGGCAAUAGACUACCUGUUGGAAGCCAAGAGCACAACUGCAAGACAACUGUUCAGUGGAGGAACAUGAAAACUCAUGCAUAGCCUGGAAGCAGAAAAUGCAAUGCACAUGGGCAGAGACAAACUGUUGCACAUGCCCAGGAUGGUUGGCGCUCAGGGCAUAGCAGCUCUACACUUGUCCCUGGGUACCUGAGACUUCUCUGAGAAGGCAGCUCAGUGCUGGCUGCUCUUGCACCUUCUUCCAGGACAGUUCCUGCAAGUGUCCUCAGAUAAAAUGGGACCAGCACCCAAGAGCUGCUGCAGGAGGAAGGCGGCAAAGCGGUGCGUGGACCUGGGAGGAAGGAGCGAGCAAGAAGAGGAGCCGGAGCCUGCGGAUGGGCCAAGGAGAGGCGCCCUGGGCAAAAGCAUCUCCCUGUCACCAGGGACACAGUCAUGUUGCAGUAGAG